UGUAUUGAACCACAUUACCCUUUAUUAAUUUAGUGGGGUUCCCAGAGGUCAACGUCCAGAUCGAAAUUGCAAUUGGACAGGAAAAAAUGAUGAUGAAUUGAUAACUACAAGCGGAACAUGAGUCAAAAUACUUGUUAGUUGUUCAUGAGUUAUUACAUCUGAAAAGUUCACCUUGAUGUAUAUCAUCACUAAGCAUAGUCAAUCGUACCAUUUAAAAUAUCCCAAACAAGCACCAUAAUUGGCUGAACAGCUUGGCCUCAACUUUACACAAUGCUUAGGAUAAAAGAAGAUGCGUUUCUUCUUAACGUGCAGUACCUGCAAACCAAGUUGGAGAAUUGUUGACUAUGAGACCCAUGACAUAAUUUUAAUUUUUAAAUUAAUGUGAAUGUAGCAAGAGGAAUUGACAGGGUAAAAACUCUAGAGAAAAUUUCAUCAUCAUUGGAGCUAAAUAUACAACUAGGUGAGCCAAGACAUUGCGUCACUUCAGUACUGAAAAGACUUUUGUCCUGAAUCCAAGACUUAUGACCUUCCACAUGCCUAGCUAUAGUUUCACAAAUGAAGCUACAAUAUGAUGAAAGAACAGCUAGAGCCCUAAGCAAUAGCAAAAUAAUUUCAGCAGGAUAGGUGUACAACUGCUUUCAAUAACUUGUAUAUGCCAACCAAAUUAUUCCAAACACAAAUCUAAAGUAAAUAUCUAAGUACAAAUCAUGCUUACAGGGAACGAUAUAAACUUCUCUGGAAUAAUUUGGAUAAGCCAGCAGCAGCGUCAAAGGUAAAAAGAUCAAUUGAACUUGGUCUCUUUCCUGUGGUAGAAUCAUCAAUCCAUAUAAAUCCCCUGCCAGAAAAAUUGAUGGUUACUUAUGAU
rnacentral:lncRNA from 1 species